rfam:Schistosoma mansoni, Puerto Rico, WGS project CABG01000000 data, contig: 0077
ACCUUGCUGACGAGUGCCAAGUAGUACGAAACCCGGGUCCAGUGU